CUCCUGACCUCAAAUGAUCCACCCACCUCGGACUCCCAAAGUGCUGGGAUUACAGGUGUAAGCCACUAUGCCCGGCCUGUAUUUUAAUAGCUAUAGGAUGGAAAAAAUUAAGGCGAAACACACUAACGGGCAUAGUAAAGGAACUACCCAAUAAUUAAUGGGGCAAUCACCAAGAAGUUGUAACAAAUAUAAACUUGCAUACAUUCAACAAUGCAGUCUCAAAAUACAAAGAGUAAAAAAGGACAAAAUUAGUAUGAGAAUUUCACUAUCUCCAAUCAUGAUAGGAAAAGUUAAUAUGAGAAUAAUCUAUAUUAGAAAAUGAUACAUCACACAUACUAAAAAUCAGUAGGCAGAGAAAGAUUUGGAAAGAAGCUAGAGCCUUUAUAUAUAUAUAUAUGUAGAAUAUGUAUGUCUAUAUGGGUGUGUGGAGUGAGGGAGAAGGAAGAGAGACAUUAGAGAGAGCGAGACUCCCUGCAUGUAAAGAUUAUAUAUCCUUUUAAGUACACAUGGACUACUGGCCAUAUAUUAGGUCAUAAAGGAAAUCUCAAUGUAUUCCAAUGAACUAAUAUUCAAACCAUUCUCUAGCCACAAGGCAAAU